rnacentral:rRNA from 1 species
GAUGAACGCUGGCGGCGUGCCUAAUACAUGCAAGUCGAGCGAACAGAGAAGGAACUUGCUCCUUCGACGUUAGCGGCGGACGGGUGAGUAACACGUGGGCAACCUACCUUAUAGUUUGGGAUAACUCCGGGAAACCGGGGCUAAUACCGAAUAAUCUGUUUCACCUCAUGGUGAAACACUGAAAGACGGUUUCGGCUGUCGCUAUAGGAUGGGCCCGCGGCGCAUUAGCUAGUUGGUGAGGUAACGGCUCACCAAGGCGACGAUGCGUAGCCGACCUGAGAGGUUGAUCGGCCACACUGGGACUGAGACACGGCCCAGACUCCUACGGGAGGCAGCAGUAGGGAAUCUUCCACAAUGGGCGAAAGCCUGAUGGAGCAACGCCGCGUGAGUGAAGAAGGAUUUCGGUUCGUAAAACUCUGUUGUAAGGGAAGAACAAGUACAGUAGUAACUGGCUGUACCUUGACGGUACCUUAUUAGAAAGCCACGGCUAACUACGUGCCAGCAGCCGCCGUAA